rnacentral:rRNA from 1 species
GAUGAACGCUGGCGGCGUGCCUAAUACAUGCAAGUCGAGCGAACAGACGAGGAGCUUGCUCCUCUGACGUUAGCGGCGGACGGGUGAGUAACACGUGGAUAACCUACCUAUAAGACUGGGAUAACUUCGGGAAACCGGAGCUAAUACCGGAUAAUAUAUUGAACCGCAUGGUUCAAUAGUGAAAGACGGUUUUGCUGUCACUUAUAGAUGGAUCCGCGCCGCAUUAGCUAGUUGGUAAGGUAACGGCUUACCAAGGCAACGAUGCGUAGCCGACCUGAGAGGGUGAUCGGCCACACUGAAACUGAGACACGGUCCAGACUCCUACGGGAGGCAGCAGUAGGGAAUCUUCAGCAAUGGGCGAAAGCCUGACGGAGCAACGCCGCGUGAGUGAUGAAGGUCUUCGGAUCGUAAAACUCUGUUAUUAGGGAAGAACAAAUGUGUAAGUAACUAUGCACGUCUUGACGGUACCUAAUAAGAAAGCCACGGCUAACUACGG